rnacentral:tRNA from 1 species
GCUCCCUUCGUCUGGCGGUCCAGGAUAACACCCAUUCACGGUGAAGAUCACCCGUUCGAAUCCGGUAGGGAGUGCCA